CGUCAAAACAGAGGGGGAAGCAGGCAGUCAGACCUACAGGCAUCCUACAAACUUCCCUUGUAUUCUUCCCCUUCUAUGUCAUCAAGCCGCUCCUCUGCAGCUCCUCUGAGAGCCUCCUGGUUCGCCCUUCAGCAGAGCAAGCACUCCGGACGCCAGGACCGUGGGGCUUGCCUUCCACAAUGCUGGAGCGCCAUCUGGUGGCCACGGGCAACCUCAGCCUCCUGCCGCCCGCAAGCUGGGUCCCCACCCCGGCUGAGGGCCCGCUGCGGGGGCACAGGGCGCGAGGACACAGCCUAGCACACUAGGGACUCACACUUCAUGUUCUUCAUCGGCAAGGGAAUCAUCGCGUGAAAAAUGGUCCAACUUUACUCGCAGCCGGAAACUGCAGUGUGGAUAGCAAUAAUACAGUGUCAGAUUUCACCUGUGAAAUUGUCUAAGAAACGAGGACAGUCCUCGCGAAAAUCAAGGGAACAGGCCCUCUAGGAAGCUAUUGUUUUCUUUAUUUAUCCUUUAGCUUUUCUUGGAGAUCAUGACAGAGGUGUGUGAAAUCUGCUCUGCAUUUGUCUAGUAAAGAUCACGUGAGGAGUUCAUUUCAGGUCACACUAGCACCAGGAAAGCCAGACUCCAAGGAAGAUCCAAGAUGUUUCCUUGUCCCCAAGAUUGAAAGCUGGAUCUGCCAGGGGCCCAGUGGACCCAGGUGGCUCCUCCAGUUAGGAAAACGAAGCCAGGGAUCAUGAGGGAGGAGCUAUUAUGAAGCUGUGGUUGGAACACUGAGAAACCCAGGCUGGCAAGGAGGGGCUGUGCCCACCCUAGGCCCAAUGGAUGAGCAGAGGGAGCAGCCACCAGAACCUGCAGGAGGAAGAGGCCUCUUGGACAGGGGCAGUGGCCUGGCAUCUCUACACAAAGUGAGUGAGAGCAGAAGGAAGCCCGGAGGAGCCGGGGAAGCCUCAGGCACAGAGCUCUUUCCCCUUCUGUGUGAUGAGAAGCUCAGCGUCAAACGGGAGGUAUUUUGCUUUCUCCUUCCUUGAUCCUUACAGCAGCCAAUACAGUGAUGCCACUUUUUCCAGGUGGAUAACAAUGUCUUAUUGUUUAAAACUUACACCUGCUUAUCAUAGGGACAAGGAUGAAAACCAAUAUCACCUUCCAAAAAGUGGCCACCUUUGAAAUAACCUUGCCACAUCAGGUGUCCAGAUAGAGACCCAACAGGAAAACAUCAUGUGGGGUUUACCUCCCAAAACAGGGUCUGGGUUGCUGCAGUUUGGAUAUUUGUCCCUUCCAAACCUCAUGUUGAAAUCUGACCCCCAGGGCCAGACGCAGUGGCUCAUGCCCGUCAUCCCUGCACUUUGGGAGGUGGAGGCGGGUGGAUCACCCGAGGCCAGGAGUUGGAGACCAGCCUGGCCAACAUGAUGAAACCCCGUCUCUACUAAAAAAUACAAAAAUUAGAUGGGUGUGGUGGCACGUGCCUGUAGUCCCAGCUACUCAGGAGGCUGAGGCAAGAGAAUCGCUCGAACCUGGGAGGCAGAAAUUGCAGUGAGCUGGGAUCGUGCCAGUGCACUCCAGCCUGGAUGACAGAGCGACACUCC
rnacentral:lncRNA from 1 species